UAAGCGUAACGCCUAAAAGGUAGUAAGCUUUAGCAUCACAACUAAUUCAUGUAAUGAUAGAAGUGAACAGCAGCUGGAUAGAACAUAAAACUUAAACCAAAAAUCAGCACCGAAUCCCUAGCCACCUUUGAUUCUUCACUGCCUUGAUCUUGACUCUGCUCUUCUAGCUUCAUCAGGUGUUGAAGGAAACAACUCAACAUACCUUGAACCAUUAUCUUUGCUCAUGGCCCUUUUAGCUUCCUCAACAGAAACAAACUCCACAUAUGCCUCUCCAGUAGCUUUCCCGUCUGGGCGACACGCAAUGUGUAUCCUCUCUUCAACCAGUUUGAAUUCUUUAAAAAAUUCAAUUAUUUCAGGUUUUUUAACAGAAAAUGGGAGCCCCCGCAUCUUCAAAAUCUCAGUGUAUUCCAAUUGAUCCUUAUCACUGAACCUUUUUGCUUUAGAUGGUGGAGGACUUCCAUGAUAAUCAGUGUCAUAGAUCCCUUCAUAAUUCACCUCUGCAGCAACAGCAUUGUAAUAAUCCUGCCUCUUGCACCUAAAAACUUCCACAUACCUACGCCCCAUGUUCUGUCGAUCUCUCUGUAAAGCAAACUCAACCUGCAUGGACCC
rnacentral:misc_RNA from 1 species